GGAAGAAGGAAUCAGGAGGCAGAGCACAUGGUUAAAGCAUGAGAUGUGAAACCAGGAAGAACCAGGUCUGAACCUUAGCUCCACCAGUGGUAGCUUCAAACCUUGGUCCUUUCUGAGCCUGCUUCUUCAACCGUAAGGAACUCGGAAACGGGACCCAGAAAGUUGUUUUCUCAAGUGGAUGGAACAACACAAGCAAUCAGUAUCCUGAAACAGGCCCUGUUCCAACAAACUGACCCAGAAAGAGGUUAUACCAAUUAUCUCUCCAGCAAGUAUGAGGACUCCUGUUUCCCUACGUACUCACUACUACAGCAAAGAUAUCAAACAUUGAUACCCACCAAUCUCUGGAUGGAAAAACAAAUCUCAGGGGCCUCACUAUUUUACCCUGGCUGGUUUCGAACUUCUGGGCUCCAGCUACCCCCAAGCCUC
rnacentral:lncRNA from 10 species